rnacentral:rRNA from 1 species
CCUACGGGAGGCAGCAGUGGGGGAUAUUGCGCAAUGGGGGCAAGCCUGAUCCAGCGACGCCGCGUGAGGGAAGAAGGAUUUCGGGUUGUAAAGCUCUAUCAACAGGGAAGAGAAUGACAGUAUCUGACCAGGAAGCCCCGGCUAACUACGUGCCAGCAGCCGCGGUAAUACGUAGGGGUCAAGCGUUAUCCGGAUUUACUGGGUGUAAAGGGAGCGUAGACGGGUAUGUAAGUCUGGAGUGAAAGCCCGUGGCCCAACCCCGGGACUGCUUUGGAAACUGUGUAACUGGAGUACAGGAGGGGCAGGCGGAAUUCCUGGUGUAGCGGUGAAAUGCGUAGAUAUCAGGAGGAACACCGGCGGCGAAGGCGGCCUGCUGGACUGAAACUGACGUUGAGGCUCGAAAGCGUGGGGAGCAAACAGGAUUAGAUACCCGUGUAGUC